rnacentral:rRNA from 1 species
GAUUUCUGACGAACCGGAGUGGCCCGUUUCCUUUCUGGGAAUGAGUGCCGCUUUGAGUUUGUCAUCCUUCCAGAGAGCUGCGUCUACCGUUUACUCGGCCGGACGUAUGCGAUCUGGAUCUAUUACUUUGAAAAAAUUAGAGUGUUUAAAGCAGGCUUAUGCUAUGAAUACAUUAGCAUGGAAUAAUAAUCUAGGACUUUCGGUUCUAUUUUGUUGGUGUUCUGGAGCUGAAGUAAUGAUUGAUAGGGAUAGUUGGGGGUGCUAGUAUUCAAUGGCCAGAGGUGAAAUUCUCGGAUUCCUUGAAGACUAACUUAUGCGAAAGCAUU